UACAGAGGGUGCGAGCGUUAUUCGGAUUUACUGGGCGUAAAGGGUGCGUAGGCGGCUGCGCAAGUCUGAUGUGAAAUCUUCACCGCUUAACGGGAAGGGGUCAUUGGAAACUGCGUAGCUCGAGUGUGGUAGAGGCAAGCGGAAUUCCUGGUGUAGCGGUGGAAUGUGUAGAUAUCAGGAAGAACACCCGUGGCGAAGGCGGCUUGCUGGGCCACUACUGACGCUGAGGCACGAAAGCGUGGGGAGCAAACGGG
rnacentral:misc_RNA from 1 species